rnacentral:rRNA from 1 species
AGGACGAACGCUGGCGGCGUGCCUAACACAUGCAAGUCGAGCGGAGUCAGUAAGAGGAAGUUUCGGAUGGAAUCUUGUUGAUUUAGCGGCGGACGGGUGAGUAACGCGUGAGCGACCAACCUUGCACAGGGGGAUAACGGACCGAAAGGUUCACUAAUACCGCAUGAGACCACGGUGUUGCAUGACACAGAGGUCAAAGGAGCAAUCCGGUGCAAGACGGGCUCGCGUCCGAUUAGGUAGUUGGAGGGGUAACGGCCCACCAAGCCUAUGAUCGGUAGCCGACCUGAGAGGGUGAUCGGCCACAUUGGAACUGAGAUACGGUCCAAACUCCUACGGGAGGCAGCAGUGGGGAAUAUUGGGCAAUGGGGGGAAAAACCCCUGACCCAGCAACGCCGCGUGAAGGAAGAAGGUUUUCGGAUUGUAAACUUCUGUCCUUGGUGAAGAGAAGAAGACGGUAGCCAAGGAGGAAGCCCCGGCUAACUACGUGCCAGCAGCCGC